rnacentral:rRNA from 1 species
AGACCCGAAACCCGGUGAUCUAGCCAUGGGCAGGUUGAAGGUUGGGUAACACUAACUGGAGGACCGAACCGACUAAUGUUGAAAAAUUAGCGGAUGACCUGUGGCUGGGGGUGAAAGGCCAAUCAAACCGGGAGAUAGCUGGUUCUCCCCGAAAGCUAUUUAGGUAGCGCCUCGUGAAUUCAUCUCCGGGGGUAGAGCACUGUUUCGGCUAGGGGGCCAUCCCGGCUUACCAACCCGAUGCAAACUGCGAAUACCGGAGAAUGUUAUCACGGGAGACACACGGCGGGUGCUAACGUCCGUCGUGAAGAGGGAAACAACCCAGACCGCCAGCUAAGGUCCCAAAGUCAUGGUUAAGUGGGAAACGAUGUGGGAAGGCCCAGACAGCCAGGAUGUUGGCUUAGAAGCAGCCAUCAUUUAAAGAAAGCGUAAUAGCUCACUGGUCGAGUCGGCCUGCGCGGAAGAUGUAACGGGGCUAAACCAUGCACCGAAGCUGCGGCAGCGACGCUGAUGCGUUGUUGGGUAGGGGAGCGUUCUGUAAGCCUGCGAAGGUGGCCUGUGAGGGUUGCUGGAGGUAUCAGAAGUGCGAAUGCUGACAUAAGUAACGAUAAAGCGGGUGAAAAGCCCGCUCGCCGGAAGACCAAGGGUUCCUGUCCAACGUUAAUCGGGGCAGGGUGAGUCGACCCCUAAGGCGAGGCCGAAAGGCGUAGUCGAUGGGAAACGGGUUAAUAUUCCCGUACUUGGUGUUACUGCGAAGGGGGGACGGAGAAGGCUAUGUUGGCCGGGCGACGGUUGUCCCGGUUUAAGCGUGUAGGUGUGUGUUCCAGGUAAAUCCGGUUCACUUUAACACUGAGGCGUGAUGACGAGGCACUACGGUGCUGAAGCAACAAAUGC